UCUGUACGGGAAGGAUGAGAAGCUUCGACCAAGGUUCGAUUCGAGCGCAGCGAGAAAGCGUUGCCGCAGGCAACGACCCGAAGGGCGAAGCGCGCAGCGCUGAGUCAUCCUUCCCCCACCACCA
rnacentral:sRNA from 6 species